ensembl:lncRNA
ACACAUAUAUACACACAUAUAUUAUGAAGCUUUUUUUUUUUUUCUGAUGGAGCGUGUGCCGCUAUAGUGCAUGGAAACAUGACGUAAUGCAGUAAGGUAAUUCCACAUCCAUGAAACGCUUGCGCUCUGAUGCAAUUGCCCUUUUUAGGAGACAUUCGUCAUUCAGAUGAUUACAAUACUAGGCCAGUGAAUGCCUGUUGCUGCACUGAUUGAAAAGUGCAUGGGUGGAACUGGAAUAUCAACAUCUGAACCAGGAUAAAUCCAUGGCAAACCAUUUCAUUUGGAGAUAUAACGCAAAUGAACAAAACUGCAUCUCUGGAGGCGAUAUCUCCAGCUCUAUCAGUCACAUCGAGACAAGAGCUGCGCUGGAGAAUCGAGCCUGUGAUGCCCAGUGAGAGUCUGGAGCAGACCAGAGAACCCACAGCAGCUCACAGAGAAAGCUUCAAAAGAAAUGCACAGGAGACUGAGCGCCUGCACAUGGAGCAGAUCGUGCUGCAGAGGUGAGCUGCCUGCAACAGGAGAAAGAGCAGCUGAAAAUGCUUCUGGCAUCCCAUGCAUCCAUCUGCACACUGGCACAGGACAAAUCUCAUUCCUUGGAGAAGUCCCUGCCAUCCAAAAUUUCCAUCACAAUAAAACAGGAACCUCUGGAUGACGUAAGUGGGUCUGGACUUUUGGUGCUCCAACAGACAGAGAACGAUGAAGCAUCAGCGCUUUUUAUUUAAUAUCUUUAAAAAAAAACUUAAUUACCACUACUAAAGAGACAUUCUGUGUUCCACAUCCAACUUUUCCUGUGAUAAAAAACCC